AGGGGGUAAGGACCAGUUUAAUCCAUACAUACGACAGGGGGUAAGGACAGUUUAAUCCAUACAUACGAGAGGGGGUAAGGAACAUUUUAAUCCAUACAUACGAGAGGGGGUAAGGACAGUUUAAUCCAUACAUACGACAGGGGGUAAGGACAGUUUAAUCCAUACAGUGGAGUCUAAAACAUGUAGAUUCAGAAGGCACCCCUCUUGUGCAAAACACCUACUUUGCUAUUUUUGUCACUGUUGUGAAAGACAAAAGAUCUAUAUGAGCCAAGGGGUUCGGCCUCUAAGUUAAUACAAACACAAUUAUACUUAAAAAUACUUUAAAAAUCAAAUAGAGUGUUUGUGUUGUGAGCCGGAAUCCAUAUAAAAUGGUGUCAGUUUCGAGCAGCAUUCAGCAUUGACCUGGUGAAUGGUUCUGCAUGAUCUCGAGUCUCACAUAAAUAUGACUGGAUGGGCUAGUCUUUCUGCCGUCCUGGCUCCCUGCAAACAACAGCAACAACAACACAUCACUGUCGUUUUAGUGAGAGUCCCUCUGAUGUCGUCCUGGCCUGCCAUGCCAAGGUAUGAGCCCGCCGUCUCCCUGCAGGGGCUGUGCCGCGCGCGUGUCUCUGUCUGUCACAUCCAGCCAGGCAGCCGUCUCAUCAGCGCCGAGCUCCUCUCUGGGUCCAGUCCCUGGGGAGUGGCGCUCCUCUCUCCUGGCGUCGGCACUCCCACCAGCCACCUGUCUCUAACCAUUGGGGUUGUGCUCACCGUGAGGUUGUUUGUCCUUCGUUUAGAACAUGCUUCAGAAUGGGUCCCCAUGACAGAUAGUCCAAUGCCUUCUUAAUGGUUUACUUGUAAGCUCCAGAAACAGUGCUUAACAUCCCGCGAGUGUCCAUGCUGUUCUUGUUUCAAGCUUUAAAAUCUUUCACUGUCACCCUUUGUGGUGAAAUGACCACAUGCUUGCUGAGGCUUCUAACAUGUUGGUGCACUUUGAGGUUGACCUUCAUUUCUCAUUCAGUCCUGCCGCUUGUCAACACACACCCUCCGUGCCAUUUGGCCCUGGGAGAAGCAUCCCUUCUUCCUCCUGAAGCGCUGGUGUUGGCCUUCACUGGGUGUGGUUCUCCAGAUGUUCCCGUUUUAGCCAGGCUUGCUUAGGGGAGGGAAAUGUUACCAACAGAUGUUCUGUUCCGCCAGAAAGAAAUGAAAUCAAAAAUAGAAAAGCAUUUGACAAUGCCAUCUGGUCAGAUAAGUGUUUAUUCUUUUGCCCACUACUCUCUCGCACAUUAAAAUCCAACCAGACAACAGCUGCUUAUCAACACAGAAUGCAUAAUGAGCUGAGAUGUGGCGCUUUUUCUAUUCUUAAACUGUGUGAACAGAUUCUCAAGCAUGCUAUGUUGGUGUCUGGCCGGGCCUGUUUGGAAGACUGGUGUUGGGAGUGCAUUCCCCCUGAUUUUCCCCCUUGUUUAAGAAUAAAACGAACCUUUUCUUUCGCAUGCUUUUAGCUUCCACUCCAUACUAUAGAUUUCCACAGUAACUAACACACAGUGAAGGGUUUAGGGCUGAAGGGCUUGAAUUGGGAUGUCACUGCAAAGACAUGUUGGAUCCAUUCG
ensembl:lncRNA